ACCCGCUGAACUUAAGCAUAUCAAUAAGCGGAGGAAAAGAAACCAACAGGGAUUGCCCUAGUAACGGCGAGUGAAGCGGCAACAGCUCAAAUUUGAAAUCUGGCUCUUUUAGAGUCCGAGUUGUAAUUUGCAGAGGGCGCUUUGGCGUUGGCAGCGGUCCAAGUUCUUUGGAACAGGACGUCACAGAGGGUGAGAAUCCCGUACGUGGUCGCUAUCCUUCGCCGUGUAAAGCCCCUUCGACGAGUCGAGUUGUUUGGGAAUGCAGCUCUAAAUGGGAGGUAAAUUUCUUCUAAAGCUAAAUAUUGGCCAGAGACCGAUAGCGCACAAGUAGAGUGAUCGAAAGAUGAAAAGCACUUUGGAAAGAGAGUCAAAUAGCACGUGAAAUUGUUGAAAGGGAAGCGCUUGCAGCCAGACUUGCCUGUAGUUGCUUAUCUGAGCUUUUGCUCGGUGCACUCUUCUGCAGGCAGGCCAGCAUCAGUUUGGGCGGUUAGAUAAAGGUCUCUGUCACGUACCUCUCUUCGGGGAGGCCUUAUAGGGGAGACGACAUGUAACCAGCCCAGACUGAGGUCCGCGCAUUUGCUAGGAUGCUGGCGUAAUGGCUGU
rnacentral:rRNA from 1 species